GUCUUGAAUGUUUAUUUAUUUUAAGUCUGGCCUGCUCAAUGAUUAUMUWUUAAAUAGCCGCAGUAUCUUGACUGUGCGAAGGUAGCAUAAUCAUUUGUCUUUUAAUUGAAGGCUUGUAUGAAUGGUUUGACAAAAUGUAAUCUUUCUUUAUAUUAAUUUUAUUGAAUUUAAUUUCUGGGUCAAAAAGCUUAGAUUUUUUUAUGGGACGAGAAGACCCUAUAGAAUUUUAUUUAAUGUCAUAUGUUUUAUUAUUGGUUUAUUUUCUUUAUUAUAUAUUGGCGUUGAAUUUUGUUGGGGCGACAGGGAAAUUACUUUAACUUUCUCUAUUUAUUUUUUAUUAAUUUAUAUAUUAAUGAUCCUAUUUAUGGAUAAUAAGAUUAAAUUACCUUAGGGAUAACAGCGUAAUUCCUUUUGAGAGUUCAUAUCGGCGAAGGAGUUUGCGACCUCGAUGUUGGAUUAAAAUAAGUGUAAGGUGCAGUAGCUUUAUUACUAGGUCUGUUCGACCUUUAAUUUUUUUACA
rnacentral:rRNA from 1 species